GUUUUUUUUUUUUUUUUGGUUUAUUGUCACUAUCUACACCUACACCUACUCUAACCUAUACUUUCGAGAUGACCAAACAAGAUUACGACAAUCGACGGAAACUAAAUCACCAUCGGACCAUACCGCGCUACUGCUGGCAUCUGGCUGAUUGCUCCCAAGUAUAACCCGAAACUGUAUAAAAUGACCGAGAGUCGCUCAACUAAGAGAAGAUUUUGUGCUAAAAAUGAAAAAACAACACAAGUAAUCCCCCAAAAGGCACCUUUUACAACGACCUUAUGGUAAUGAACAGCUACGUCUAAACAAGGUGAAAAAUAAUGGGACUUGGAUCCUCUGAAUACCUAAAAAUGUGAUUGCAGAGAAUCCAAAUGGGAAUAUUGCUAUGUACAUUUGCAUCUUAAGUGUACUAUAAAUGGGAGGAACACUGUAAAUGAUUCAUAUCUACUUUACAGGUCAACAGAAUAUGUCGUUUGAG
rnacentral:lncRNA from 1 species